UGGUUCUGGCAUNGAUGAAGAACGCAGCGAAAUGCGAUAAGUAAUGUGAAUUGCAGAAUUCAGUGAAUCAUCGAAUCUUUGAACGCACAUUGCGCUCGCCAGCAUUCUGGCGAGCAUGCCUGUUCGAGCGUCAUUUCAACCCUCAAGCACCGCUUGGUUUUGGGGCCCCACGGCACACGUGGGCCCUUAAAGGUAGUGGCGGACCCUCCCGGAGCCUCCUUUGCGUAGUAACUAACGUCUCGCACUGGGAUCCGGAGGGACUCUUGCCGUAAAACCCCCCAAUUCUUUACAGGUUGACCUCGGAUCAGGUAGGAAUACCCGCUGA
rnacentral:misc_RNA from 1 species